GAAUCAUGGCUUGGACCCGCUUGAGCAGCGUUCUGCAGAGCCAGCAGAAGGGCAGCGGGAUGGGGAACUGCUGCUCGGAGAGAUCCUGCGGGACGGAAUGAGGAGAAGGCUCCCCUCAGCGGUCAUAGUGGAAAAUCUCAUUUCUAUUUGAUCAUGGACAACCCAGCAAAAACCUCAAUGGUCCCUUGAUGCUGUGAUGUUCCAGGGCAGCUGAAGACAUCCCAGGGAGGAGCAGAUUCCUGAUCAACAUGCGUUCCUCUGACCUAGGAUCUUCCUGGAAAGUUCCUCACUGUUCUAGGAUUGUUGAGGCUGCCCUCUGAGUCAUCUGUUACUCCAGAUAUACUGAUAUACCCAACGAAGGUGGGGCAAGCUUGGGGACUUUCGUCUCUGCUGCCCGGAGCAGCAUCGAUCAGGUCCAAAGCACAGCUUCUUCUGUUGAAUUAUGUCUCCCUAGAAGAUGUGCUGGAGCCCUAACCCCUGGGAUCUGUGGAUUUUUUUGAGAAGAGCCUGCAGAUGUAAUGGAGUGGGGUUGCGGUCAUAGAGGGAGCCCGCAUCGGCGGACUGGUGCCCUUAUGAGAAGGAAGUUUGGACACAGAGAAGGUACUGUGUGACAAUGGAGGCAGAAACUGGAGUGAGGCAGCUGCAAGCAACGGAGCUCCUGGGGUCAGAGGAAGGGCUGGAAGCUGGGAAGAGGCAAAGGAGAUUCCUCCCUCGAGCCUGCAGAGGGAGCGUGGGCCUGGGGACAGUGACUGCAGACUUCUGUCUCUAGCAGAGGCCCUCCUGUUGUUUUCAGCCACCCACUUUGUGGUGCUGUGCUAGGACAGCCCUAGGAAACUGGCACAGCUGCCCGCCGUGUGUUCAGCCCAUCCCCUCCCUCCUUCCGCAUGCCAGCAAGUGAGCCCAUACUUUCCAGACCCAAAGUGAGCCCUGCAAACAGCCAGCUCAGUUCCUGGCAUUGUUGUUGUGUGCUGUGGUGGAAGAGGUCUGACCACAGCAUAGGCUCCGGACUCUGCAUCUUAAUGAAGAACAGGCUUUGAGAAGUGGGUGAUGCUAGGUUCCAGUGUCAUCUCUGCUAUCAUCUGUCAGAGGCCCCUGUCGUCAGGGCUCUGGCUGAAUCUCCUCUGCUUACGCUUCCUGGAGAGAGUGCCCUUUUCCUAUACCUCUACCUGGUCAUUCCCUGCAGGAAGGAAAUGUUCCUGUCAUGGCCGAUCCUCAGAAUCCAACAGGGUCCUGGGGACAUCGUGGCUGCUUAACCAACUGAUUUUUUUCUCCCUUUCUUGCUAGUGGAACUAAGCUUUUAUUCAGGUUCUGGAGGUGCAGAGAGCUGAUUCUGUGUCCUAGCCCGGAGAUGUACCAUGCAAAUAGGCUAAGUCAUCCCUCCUUGCUGGUAAUUGCUUUGGUUCUGGUUCUACCCCUGAUGAAAGUCUUCAGGAUUCAGUAUGUGGGGGAAACAUCUCAAAAAUGUCUGCAUCCUGGUUAAAAGAGGCAGGUGGGAAAAAAAACCCUUUUUCUCCUUUUUGACUUCCUGUCCGAAGAUGUGAUAUUGGAGCCAUGGUAGCCAUUCUGCUCCAAGAAGGAGGAGUUUAGAGAAGCACAGAGAAGAAGUUCAGAGCCCUAACAUGGCCAAGAUGCUGAUUUAACUAACUUUGAACCAAUCCUGUAUUAUUUGUACAAUUACUAGCCAGAUAUUCUGUUAUGUGUAGCCUUAAUCAUCUUAACCAAAGGUAGAAGAAAGAAAAGAGAAAAGAAAAUCAGAAAGAAAGGAAGGAUAAGGAGAAAAAAAGGG